ensembl:snoRNA
AACCAAAGUCUAAGCAUGACGAUUGGGUUUUCAUGCUAUUGUAUGAUACAUGCCUUCCUCAAAACUUGUUACGAUAUCAUCACAUCACCCAUCUGAUG